rnacentral:rRNA from 1 species
AUUGAACGCUGGCGGCAGGCCUAACACAUGCAAGUCGAACGAUAACAGGAAGAAGCUUGCUUCUUUGCUGACGAGUGGCGGACGGGUGAGUAAUGUCUGGGAAACUGCCUGAUGGAGGGGGAUAACUACUGGAAACGGUAGCUAAUACCGCAUAAUGUCGCAAGACCAAAGAGGGGGACCUUCGGGCCUCUUGCCAUCGGAUGUGCCCAGAUGGGAUUAGCUAGUAGGUGGGGUAACGGCUCACCUAGGCGACGAUCCCUAGCUGGUCUGAGAGGAUGACCAGCCACACUGGAACUGAGACACGGUCCAGACUCCUACGGGAGGCAGCAGUGGGGAAUAUUGCACAAUGGGCGCAAGCCUGAUGCAGCUAUGCCGCGUGUAUGAAGAAGGCCUUCGGGUUGUAAAGUACUUUCAGCGGGGAGGAAGGGAGUAAAGUUAAUACCUUUGCUCAUUGACGUUACCCGCAGAAGAAGCACCGGCUAACUCCGUG